AAUUAGAAUUCCAGGAAAAUAAACCGCCAAACGUUACACUGACCUACCAGCAUAGGGUCUGUUUUCUCUGGACGACCAGCUGAUGUUGCUGAAUUUGGCGCCCUCUACAAGCGAUUGUAAAAAGCACAUAUAAAGGACUAUCGUAAAAUACUUUUUUAAAAGCGUGUUACACUGGAUACACUGCGAAUGUCUCUGACUGGUGAGCAAACUGGUUGGUUUUCCCAUCCCACUGAGCUGCAGUUUAAAUAUUUUCCUCAGCUUAGCUGUUGUAUUAGUGCUAACAUUAACCAGGGUUAGCUCUCGCGCAGGGUCACUCUUUUUAAAUUAAAAAAUUAACGGAAAUCAACCGUCAUUAGCUCGUUUUUCUUCGGCUCAGUAAAUAUUUAAAGUAAAUAUUUAACAACUUUCUUAUUUAUUUAUUCUAAAAAGAUACACUCCAGCGUGUUUUUACUUCUGAAUAAUGGACCUCUUCAGCACUCUGACUUGCUGUGUAAGGAUGAGAGUGGCUGACCCAAGGGUGGAGAGGCCCUGUUUGGACGGCGUGACACAGUUCAGUCUCAGAGGAACACACAGCACAACCCAGAGCUUGACCAGGGUCCUCCCAUUCAUGUUUGCAGAGAGCUGUUGAAUGGUCACAGGGUGAAGAAAAGUCAACAUUGCUUCAUUCAGCCAGUCAGAUUGCCCUUUCUUACCCCUGAGACUUUGAUGUGGGGAAGAGAUUGCAACAGGAUACACUGUGGGAAGAAUACAAGCUAGUGGAGGGAGUGUGAUGCUCUGGACAGUGUUCUGCUGGGAAACUUUGGGUCUGCAGUCCAGACCUUUCAUGAAAAGAUGCAUCAUGAAAUGAAAAUUCUGACAAGACAAAAAUAAAACAAUAUUUUUAUUUUAUAAAAAUGUCUCA
rnacentral:lncRNA from 1 species